rnacentral:rRNA from 1 species
GGUGAACGCUGGCGGCGUGCUUAAGACAUGCAAGUCGAACGCAGUCUUCGGACUGAGUGGCGCACGGGUGAGUAACACGUAACUGACCUACCCCCAAGUCGCGGAUAACUGGCCGAAAGGUCAGCUAAUACGUGAUGUGAUGUCCCCUUUCUGGGGGGCCAUUAAAGGUUUACUGCUUGGGGAUGGGGUUGCGUUCCAUCAGCUAGUUGGCGGGGUAAAGGCCCACCAAGGCAACGACGGAUAGCCGGCCUGAGAGGGUGGCCGGCCACAGGGGCACUGAGACACGGGUCCCACUCCUACGGGAGGCAGCAGUUAGGAAUCUUCCACAAUGGGCGAAAGCCUGAUGGAGCGACGCCGCGUGAGGGAUGAAGGUUCUCGGAUCGUAAACCUCUGAAUCAGGGACGAAAGACGCGUAAGCGGGAUGACGGUACCUGAGUAAUAGCACCGGCUAACUCCGUGCCAGCAGCCGCGGUAACAC